GUGAGAAUGUAAUCCCUUCAGACAUACACACAAACACAUACGCUGCCUGGUACUCAUUAAUUGUGCAUUUUGCAGAGAAGUCUGGUAAUGCCACCAACAGGCUGUGGAAGUGGCUAAAUGAAAGUGUGUACUCUUCCACUUGAUUCACCAGGACACCGUUGUGUUGGCUGUUCUACAGUGAUGAGAGGACUGUGUGCCUUUUGAUAACAAAAUCAAAAAUAGUCAUCUUUAAACUCAUUUCUGCUUUCUAACUCACUCACGCACUCACUUCAAAGAGGGGGAAAAGUCAUCUGCCUCCCGCGGCCUGCCAACAUGCAGACCACCAGGGGAAGUGAGGGAGCGAGAGAAGAGAGAGGAAGAGAGAGAUGGCAGCAGAGAUUGGCCUGUCGGGGGCUUUUGAAGGGAAGAAAGACUGGAUCCUGUUCAGAGGCCACUGAUAAAGACCCUAGAGGGGCACCGGAGGGGGCGAGUGUUAUAUAAAGGAGGAAGCUGGUUUCAGAAAACAGAGAAAGUGCGGCUAUAUGUGCGUGCAUAGUGUGAUUUCAAAGUAAACAAUAAUGCACAUUCAUAAUGCAUGCAUUAGACACUUUGAUCAAGAUUCUCAAAUGAAAAGCAGCUAAAGUCUAGGACUCAUAUACUGUACACUUUAACACCAUUGGGAUACCAUAAUCAGGCAAGAUAAUGUGUCCAAAUAACAUCAGGAAUAAACUUUAAAGUCUGUACCCAUCGUCAAUAUUUGAAAAAGGUAAUGUGAAAAAUAGCAAAGCUCACUUGGUCACUGAUACACCUAUAGUAAAUAUGUCUGUAAUAGGGAUGUGCAAGAGCAGAGCCGAUCCUGACCUCCCCUGCGGCCUGAAAAAAAGUUCUGCGAAGGGGCCCUUCUACCUGACCUGUGAACUAUGUAAACCAUUUGCAUUUGCCACACAGUCACACCUAACACCCCAGAGCUCCCACUACAAUCCUCCCACCUUUAAAACAGUUUGCUCUAUCUGUCAGUCUAAGAAUAAGUAGACCUGAAGAACAGAAUGAGGUAUAACUAAACUAUAACUAAACCUUGAGUGAGGGACUAGAUAAUCAUUGUCUUGUAAAAUUAUGUGCACCUAGGAUGAAUAUGAGAUCACACCCACAUAUUGUCUGGACUGACCUCCACAGAGACUGCUGCUGCAAAGCUUGAGUUUCAUUUCAUGCACAUGAUCAUAUCACCUUUACGUGCAACACGGUUAUCUUUUCCAUGCUGCAGUUUAU